GAGUGACAUAGAUCUUUGGUUUUGCCUUUGCUGAGUGAACAGAUCUUUGGUUUUGCCUUUUCUGACUGCUGAUCUGAACUUCUCAAAUCU